GUUCAGUGGUAGAACACCACCUUGCCAAGGUGGGGGUCGCGGGUUCGAAUCCCGUCUUCCGCUCCA
rnacentral:tRNA from 1 species